AACGAACGCUGGCGGCAUGCCUAACACAUGCAAGUCGAACGAGACCUUCGGGUCUAGUGGCGCACGGGUGCGUAACGCGUGGGAACCUGCCCUCAGGUUCGGAAUAACUUCUCGAAAGGGGUGCUAAUACCGGAUAAUGUCUUCGGACCCAAGAUUUAUCGCCUUUGGAUGGGCCUGUGUUGGAUUAGCUAGUUGGUAGGGUAAAAGCCUACCAAGGCGACGUUCCAUAGCUGGUCUGAGAGGAUGUUCAGGCACACUGGGACUGAGACACGGCCCGGACUCCUACGGGAGGCAGCAGUGGGGAAUAUUGGACAAUGGGCGAAAGCCGGAUCCAGCAAUGCCGCGUGAGUGAUGAAGGCCUUAGGGUUGUAAAGCUCUUUUACCCGGGAUGAUAAUGACAGUACCGGGAGAGUAAGCGCCGGCUAACUCCGUG
rnacentral:rRNA from 1 species